UCAUUAAUCUACAUUGUUUUUGUGUCUAUCAUUUGUGACCAUUAAUUUUUAUGUAAUAAAUGAACUUUUUACUAUAAUAAUUUUCCUUUCAUGUUCCUUCCACUCAUAACCUUUCUUAUUUAAUAUUGAGAGGGAACAAACCUUUUCAUUAGGCAUCUUUUCUUGGCUUCUUUAGUUAUUUAGAUUUUGGAGUUUACUCUUUCAAUAGUUUUUAUCUUUUACUUAUCUUGGCAUCGUCGUAAAACUUGAGGUCAUGCCGUUGAUUUGAUAGUCAAGGGUAAGGUAAAAAUUGUGGGCGUGACAAAUGAUAAAAGUAGCUCAAAGUAUCUCACAGAUGGGUUGAGAGUUUCUCCAAGGGUGCCCUUUGGCCAGAUCUAGUAGUUACUCCAGAUCUUGGCAUAUCUUUUAAGAUCCUUCAAAGAGAUAGGGCAUGACCCUUUUUUCUGAAGGUUAUUAUUUCCUUUUUCAAGGAUUCAUCCCUUGUGUCCCUUCCUUGAGAGGUGCGUGUCUUUCUCCAAACGUACUCCUACCAUAGUCCAGUAUGAAGCACGGCUGUAGGUCAUGCUUACUAAGAGUUACCUCUAUCUCGAUUGAGAGAUAUUUUGUUAUUUAGGGACCAUUUAGCUUAAAUCAAGAGGCUUCUUUAAGUUUGAGCCUGUGCACACUGUAGCUUGCUGCUCGGGCUUAUGCACGGAGUUUACACUGAAACCGCUUUUGAUCUUUGCACUUUGUAACUUUUUAUUCCCAUUUUGGGGUAUAAUAAACAAGGAAUAUUUGUAAUGCUUUUGCAUUAUUGUAUGGUGUCGAAGUCUUUUUUGAUUUUUUAUUUAGACAGUGGGUCUGCAUGUUUGUAUACUCUGAGGCUUCGUUGAACACAUUUUUUUGAGAAGUAGUUUUCUCAAGAGAUGUAGUAAUUUUUUUCCAAAAGUAUCCUCAGAUCAUCAUACUUUUAGCUUGUCACAGUAUAUGAUAUUUUCAUAUAGUGAUUCUGGGCAAGCUAGUAAGUGUUGGAUUGUUAAAGUCGAUGAUCAAAGAUUAAUGCGAAUCAGUUUCUUCUUUGUAAUCAUCUAGCGAGGUCGAUGCAUAGUGGGAUUUUAGUCCAACCAUAGACUAUUUUUUGGUCUAUUUUGUUGUCAAACCUCAUGGUUCGAAGAGGGAUCCUUGCUUAUAUUAUGGUUGUGCGUUGAAGUCCAGACAUCUAUAAGUUACUGCAAAUUGUGCUCAAAGUUGAAAUACAAUUCCAAGAAGGGGUUGCAGACUUCCCAAUCUGGACACUAACUACCAGUGGAGAAUUUGGUUGUAUCUCUGCCUGGGGGAUUAGUAGGGAACACAGAGCUAAAACCAUGAUGAACACUCUCACCUGGCAUAGGUUAAUUCCUUUCAAAUGUUCAUUCCUGCUUUGGAGAGUCCUAAUAAGGACAUUACCUAUAAAUGAAAGGCUUCACUAAUUUGGUAUUGCCCCUGCUACCUGUAGUUGUUGCUCUAUUCCUGGGUAGGAUAGAAUCCCACAUACAUUUGUUGAUGGACCAUUUGCUAAACACAUCUGGCAGUUUUUCUUUGCAUCCCUAGGUAUGAUACAAGGCACAAGUUCCCUUAGAAACUUGUUGCUGAAGUGGUGGAAGUCUAAGAUUAGUAAUAGUGCUCAAAAGUUGAUCAUGCAAGCUUUUCCCAUUAUUAUCUAUUGGAAUCUAUGGAAAAAUAGAUGUGUUGUUGAGUAUGGUGGAAAACAGCCUCAACUGGCCAGAGUUAAAUUCCUCAUUUAUAAAGACAUAUCCCACUUACUACAUACUGCAUUUCCAUACACCUGUAUACUGGUCCAAACCACCAUCUAAUAUGGUUAAACUGAACUCUGAUGGCUCUUACUAAUCCAGGUAAGAUUGGAGCAGGGGGGAUCAUUAGAGAUCACAAUAGAGAUCUUAUCUAUGCUUAUGCUACACCUUUAGGCCAGGGGACCAACAAUCAAGCAGAAGUGGAGUCUGCUAUCUUGGGUCUUUCUUGGUGUCAUAGGAACAACAUACAGCAGUUUAUCUUAGAGCCAUGUCUAUAGGGAAGCCAACUUUGUAGCUGAUGCCUUAUCCAAAGUCAGUCAGCAGUCUGACCAGCUUUAUCACUAUUUUCACUACUAUCAACUUCCCCCAGAAGUAACAGGAUACUUUUAGCUAGACAAGUUAGGACUACCAAGUUUUCAAAGAAGGAAACUAAACAAGUUACAUGAGCCACCAUAGAGAUAGCUUACCAGUUCAUAGAUUUAGAACAAAGUAGUAUUUGUACUUAUUCUGUAAGCACAGAUUGGAGGUCAGGUCUAUGUCCCCCUCUAUGUAUACUUUUCCUUUGUGAUUAAUAAAUGCUCAAAUUCAAAAAAAAAAAAAAAAAAAACCUCUCAAAAGUCCAUACUGCUACUUCAUUAACAAACCUUCCAGUAAAGUUCUCUUGGGGACAAAAAAAUAUAUGAAGGAAAAAAGAGUGUAGCGCAUUCUCCCGGGUCUGCUUGCUUUGUGUCCCAGUUGAUGGGCUGUUUUUCACUCUGAGAACCUAAAAAGACUCCUAGUUGCAGGUCACAGGCAUUCAAAACUUGCUCCACCAAAGGGCUAUCCUCCAUUCCAAUAGCAAGAGAGCAGAUCCCAAAAACCGGCAAGACCUUGGAAAAAAAGAAAACAUGUAGUUAAGAUAAAUUUAAAAAAAAUAUGAAAACACACCUUUCAUCCUGCUUGUGAAUGUUUAGGUUAUCGUUUUUUAAGGUAUGUCUUAGUUGACUGGUUUCUUUCUUUCCUCGAUGACUUUUCCAUAGCUAUCUUUGGCGGUUGCCCAAGAACUCCCUCAAGUUAUCAUCUUUGAGCAACUCUGCCAUUACUUCCCUGAGAUAUCGGUAGUCCCUAAUGUCAUGCCUAUGUGACCUAUGGAACUCUAACCAUGAGUUUUUAUUUCUCAAAUUAGGGUAUGAGAGGAUGGGUUUUGGGAGCUUGGUCCUUUUGAUAUCCUGAUAGCCGAUGCCAGUUCCCCCAAACUGGUCAAGCAAUAUUUUAAAAGUGGGCAAUGUCAUCGAUGGCGUACACCACGGGAAUUCGAACUUCUUAACCCUACAGACCCCUUCGCAUAAAUUCCCCUAUCUAAGGAUAAGAUCUUAUUAAAAAUGGUCGUUAUGCCGAUUCUCAAAUCUGGCAUGUAAGGUAUGUAUUUACCUUGGAGCAAGGUCUUUGAGUUGCUUCAACAAGAGAUGCUUUGAGGUGCUUCAACAAGAGAUGCUUUGAGUUGACUUAUCCCUCGAGUUCCAUAAAUUCUUCUCAAUCUUUGCCUCACUUCAUGCCUGAGGAUUAUUGCCUACCAUACUCUUAAAUCAUCCUCAAUUCGGAUCUUGGACUUGUAUAGACUAUAAACAUUAACCCAUGUGGUAGAUUAAAACUCUAUU